rnacentral:rRNA from 1 species
UACGUAGGGUGCGAGCGUUUGUCCGGAAUUAUUGGGCGUAAAGGGCUCGUAGGCGGUUUGUCGCGUCGGGAGUGAAAUCCACUGGCUUAACUGGUGGCUUGCUUUCGAUACGGGCAGACUGGAGGUAUGCAGGGGAGAACGGAAUUCCUGGUGUAGCGGUGAAAUGCGCAGAUAUCAGGAGGAACACCGGUGGCGAAGGCGGCCCGCUGGGCAGGAAGGCUCGCAAGAGCCGGCUGACGCUGAGGCGCGACAGCGUGGGGAGCAAACAGG